GAAAGAACCAACAGGGAUUGCCCUAGUACGGCGAGUGAAGCGGCAACAGCUCAAAUUUGAAAGCUGGCUCCGGCCCGCAUUGUAAUUUGCAGAGGAUGCUUUUGGUGAGGUGCCUUCCGAGUUCCCUGGAACGGGACGCCAUAGAGGGUGAGAGCCCCGUAUGGAUGGACACCAAACCCUGUGUAAAGCUCCUUCAACGAGUCGAGUAGUUUGGGAAUGCUGCUCAAAAUGGGAGGUAAAUCUCUUCUAAAGCUAAAUACCGGCCAGAGACCGAUAGCGCACAAGUAGAGUGAUCGAAAGAUGAAAAGCACCUUGAAAAGGGGGUUAAACAGUACGUGAAAUUGUUAAAAGGGAAGCGCUUGUGACCAGACUUGCGCCGGGCAGCUCAUCAGGGGUUCUCCCCUGUGCACUCUGCCCGGCUCAGGCCAGCAUCGGUUCUCGUGGGAGGAUAAGAACAGUAGGAAUGUGGCCCCCUCUCGGGGGGGUGUUAUAGCCUAUUGUACGAUACUCUCGUGGGGACCGAGGUUCGCGCUCCGCAAGGAUGCUGGCGUAAUGGUCAUCAGCGACCCGUCUUGAAACACGGACCAAGGAGUCGUCCAUUAGAGCGAGCGUUUGGGUGUAAAACCCGCACGCGUAAUGAAAGUGAACGCAGGUGAGAGCUUCGGCGCAUCAUCGACCGAUCCUGAUGUCUUCGGAUGGAUUUGAGUAAGAGUUUUAACGGACGGACCCGAAAGACAGUGAACUAUGCUUGUAUAGGGUGAAGCCAGAGGAAACUCUGGUGGAGGCUCGCAGCGGUUCUGACGUGCAAAUCGAUCGUCAAAUAUGAGCAUGGGGGCGAAAGAC
rnacentral:rRNA from 1 species